GGAAAAACAAGUAUGUGGUGAUCCCAAAACGCUGCUGCUUUACAUGGCAAUGAAAGUAGUGUAAAUAUCAGUCCUACCAGUGAGAAGCAGGUUAGCAGCCAGCGGGGUGUUUUGUACAGUAAAAGAUAUUGUAAUUUGGUGUAAGCAUUGGAUCUGAAGAAUUGUUAAGGUAUGUUUCUUCUCUUCUAGAGGAAGCUAGUGUCAACUAAAACAAGUGAUGCACGAUACUUGCCCCGAUCUUUUCACAAUCUAGCAAAGCCCUUUAGAAACUAUCUGUAAAUUUCUAGUUCAGGAGUGAAAUUAAGUCUUGUAGACCAGAUUUAGCUUGACAUAUGACUAGUUGUUCUGAAUUUUGAUGUAUUAUGUACAUUCUUG
rnacentral:misc_RNA from 1 species